AGCGGCUAGCUGGGGACCUGCGGGAGUGACGGGCGCGGGCGCAGGGGAGCGCAGCGACAGCGGGACGGUCCAGGCAGCGGAGAGCGCCAUGGCGGAGUGCGCAGCUUUAGCUUCACGUUACAGAACAGUGUUGGGAAUCCUGCUCACCUGAGAAGCUGCAGGAAAAAGCUCUAGGAGUGCUUCUAAUUGCUGCUGACCCUGG
rnacentral:lncRNA from 1 species